AAAUGCACAAGCGAUAAACAAUAGUUCGUAUACCAUGUAUUUUCUAUAUAAUCCUAAACAAUUUACAUAGCAUGAACUACCCAGUCCCCACCUGGUGGAACCUGUUUCAUUCCAGAAUCGUUUUAUCAAGUUGGAUGUGAUCAUCGAAUGCUAGACAAACAUAUAUCGACUAUUGUACAGACUUCAGUAUGUGGUCUAGACAUAAUCCAUGGAUAACAAGGUCCAACGGUACGUAGGCAUAAGGAAAACAAUAUCUAUUUGACCUCUUCACCACUAGUCAGGCGGGUCUUCUCUUCUUCAACCUGCUCAAGCAAUACUUGUAAUUCCGCUUCUGUUAAGCUCUCUAACCGUUUCUCCAUGACUUUGCUUUCAUA
rnacentral:misc_RNA from 1 species